rnacentral:tRNA from 1 species
GGUUGCUUCGCUCAGAUGGGAGAGCAUUUGCCUUACAAACAGAGGGCCAUAGGAUCGAUCCCUAUAGCGACUA